rnacentral:rRNA from 1 species
GUUGUAUGGUUAAGUGACUAAGCGUACACGGUGGAUGCCUUGGCAGUCAGAGGCGAUGAAAGACGUAGUAACUUGCGAUAAGCCCAGAUUAGGUAGUAACAACCAUUUGAGUCUGGGAUUUCUGAAUGGGGAAACCCACGUGCAUAAGCACGUAUCCUUCACCUGAAUACAUAGGGUAAGGAGGCGAACCGGGGGAACUGAAACAUCUAAGUACCCCGAGGAAAAGAAAUCAACCGAGAUUCCGAAAGUAGCGGCGAGCGAAAUUGGACUAGCCCUUAAGCUUUACACGCGUUAGACGAACGGUCUGGAAAGUCCGACGAUACAGGGUGAUAGUCCCGUAGUUGACGACGUGUGUUCAGUGAAAUCGAGUAAGGCGGGACACGUGAUAUCCUGUCUGAAUAUGGGGGGACCAUCCUCCAAGGCUAAAUACUACUGACUGACCGAUAGUGAACCAGUACCGUGAGGGAAAGGCGAAAAGAACCCCUGUGAGGGGAGUGAAAUAGAACCUGAAACCGUGUACGUACAAGCAGUAGGAGCAGGCUUGUCCUGUGACUGCGUACCUUUUGUAUAAUGGGUCAGCGACUUAUAUUCAGUGGCAAGGUUAACCAUCUAGGGGAGCCGUAGGGAAACCGAGUCUUAACUGGGCGUUCAGUCUCUGGAUAUAGACCCGAAACCAGGUGAUCUAGCCAUGGGCAGGUUGAAGGUUGAGUAACAUCAACUGGAGGACCGAACCGACUAAUGUUGAAAAAUUAGCGGAUGACUUGUGGCUAGGGGUGAAAGGCCAAUCAAACCUGGAGAUAGCUGGUUCUCCCCGAAAGCUAUUUAGGUAGCGCCUCGGACGAAUACUACUGGGGGUAGAGCACUGUUAAGGCUAGGGGGUCAUCCCGACUUACCAACCCUUUGCAAACUCCGAAUACCAGUAAGUACUAUCCGGGAGACACACGGCGGGUGCUAACGUCCGUCGUGGAGAGGGAAACAACCCAGACCGCCAGCUAAGGUCCCAAAUUACUACUAAGUGGGAAACGAUGUGGGAAGGCUCAGACAGCCAGGAUGUUGGCUUAGAAGCAGCCAUCAUUUAAAGAAAGCGUAAUAGCUCACUGGUCGAGUCGGCCUGCGCGGAAGAUGUAACGGGGCUAAGUAGUAAACCGAAGCUGCGGCAAUAUACUUUUGUAUAUUGGGUAGGGGAGCGUUCUGUAAGCGGUUGAAGGUGUGUGGUAACGCAUGCUGGACGUAUCAGAAGUGCGAAUGCUGACAUGAGUAACGAUAAAGGGGGUGAAAAACCUCCUCGCCGGAAGACCAAGGGUUCCUGUCCAACGUUAAUCGGGGCAGGGUAAGUCGACCCCUAAGGCGAGGCCGAAAGGCGUAGUCGAUGGGAAACGGGUUAAUAUUCCCGUACUUCUUACAAUUGCGAUGGGGGGACGGAGAAGGCUAGGUGGGCCUGGCGACGGUUGUCCAGGUUCAAGUGCGUAGGCUUAAGAGUUAGGUAAAUCCGGCUCUUUUUAAGGCUGAGACACGACGUCGAGCUACUACGGUAGUGAAGUCAUUGAUGCCAUGCUUCCAGGAAAAGCCUCUAAGCUUCAGAUUGUAAGGAAUCGUACCCCAAACCGACACAGGUGGUCGGGUAGAGAAUACCAAGGCGCUUGAGAGAACUCGGGUGAAGGAACUAGGCAAAAUGGUACCGUAACUUCGGGAGAAGGUACGCUCUCGACGGUGAAGUCCCUCGCGGAUGGAGCUAUUGAGAGUCGCAGAUACCAGGUGGCUGCAACUGUUUAUUAAAAACACAGCACUGUGCAAAAUCGUAAGAUGACGUAUACGGUGUGACGCCUGCCCGGUGCCGGAAGGUUAAUUGAUGGGGUUAGACUUCGGUCGAAGCUCUUGAUCGAAGCCCCGGUAAACGGCGGCCGUAACUAUAACGGUCCUAAGGUAGCGAAAUUCCUUGUCGGGUAAGUUCCGACCUGCACGAAUGGCGUAAUGAUGGCCACGCUGUCUCCACCCGAGACUCAGUGAAAUUGAAAUCGCUGUGAAGAUGCAGUGUACCCGCGGCUAGACGGAAAGACCCCGUGAACCUUUACUACAGCUUGGCACUGAACAUUGACCCUACAUGUGUAGGAUAGGUGGGAGGCUUUGAAGCACGUACGCCAGUAUGUGUGGAGCCGUCCUUGAAAUACCACCCUUGUAGUGUUGAUGUUCUAACGUCGACCCCUUAUCGGGGUUGCGGACAGUGCCUGGUGGGUAGUUUGACUGGGGCGGUCUCCUCCCAAAGAGUAACGGAGGAGCACGAAGGUGGGCUAAUCACGGUUGGACAUCGUGAGGUUAGUGCAAUGGCAUAAGCCCGCUUGACUGCGAGAAUGACAAUUCGAGCAGGUGCGAAAGCAGGUCAUAGUGAUCCGGUGGUUCUGAAUGGAAGGGCCAUCGCUCAACGGAUAAAAGGUACUCCGGGGAUAACAGGCUGAUACCGCCCAAGAGUUCAUAUCGACGGCGGUGUUUGGCACCUCGAUGUCGGCUCAUCACAUCCUGGGGCUGAAGUCGGUCCCAAGGGUAUGGCUGUUCGCCAUUUAAAGUGGUACGCGAGCUGGGUUUAGAACGUCGUGAGACAGUUCGGUCCCUAUCUGCCGUGGGCGUUGGAAGAUUGAAGGGGGCUGCUCCUAGUACGAGAGGACCGGAGUGGACGAACCUCUGGUGUUCGGGUUGUGUCGCCAGACGCAUUGCCCGGUAGCUAAGUUCGGAAUCGAUAACCGCUGAAAGCAUCUAAGCGGGAAGCGAGCCCUGAGAUGAGUCUUCCCUGAUACUUUAAGUAUCCUAAAGGGUUGUCGGAGACUACGACGUUGAUAGGUCAGGUGUGUAAGUGCUGUGAGGCAUUGAGCUAACUGAUACUAAUUGCCCGUGAGGCUUAACCAUACAACACCCAAGGGGUUU